rnacentral:lncRNA from 1 species
GGGAAUGUGCUGAAAACGGAUACUAUAUUUAAGGUGGUAAAGAUAGAAAUUGAUGGUAAGUUUUUAGAUAUGGAACUUUAUAUAUUAGAUAUGCAUGAUUUUGACGUAAUUUUUGGGAUGGAUUGGUUACCUAAGAAUCACGUGACAAUUUAUUGUUUCGAGAAGGAGAUCGUCUUCCAAAAACUUGGAGAAUAAGAAUUUUAAUUAUUAGUGGUAUUUUCCUAGUUUGAUUUACGAUUAGGAUACCACCAUCUAAGAAUCAAGAUAGAUGAUAUCUCGAAGAUGGCUUUGAGGACUCGAUAUGGUCACUACGAGUUUUUAUUUAUGCCAUUUGGGUUGACAAAUGUUCUCGGAGUAUUCAUGGACUUGAUGAACCAUGUUUUUCGUGAUUUUCUUGACUCAUUUGUCAUUGUAUUUAUUGAUGAAAUCCUAAUUUAUUUAAAGAGCAAAGAGGAGCAUGAGGAACACUUAAGGAUUGUGCUGAAAAUCUUGAAGAAUGAGAAAUUGUAAGCAAAAUUUAGGAAAUGUGAAUUUUAGUUGGAACAAAUAGUGUUCUUCAGACAUGUCAUUACAGCUCGAGGAAUAUAAGUUGAUCUAAACAAAGUGGAGGUAAUUUUGAAUUGGGUGAGGCCAACGAGUGUCGGGAAAAUACACAAUUUUUUGGGUUUAGUUGAUAUUACAGGAGGUUAAUCGAAUGGUUCUUAAAGAUAUUUGGACCAUUAAUUCAGUUAGCUCGUAAGGGUCCAAAAUUUAACUGGAUUGAAAAGUACGAGCGUAGUUUUGAAGAAUUGAAGCAGAGACUGGUGAAUGUGCUAAUGUUAACCAUACCAGAAGGGACAAAAGGUUUUUAAUCUAUAGUGAUGUGUCUAAACAUGAUUUGGGAUGUCUCCAUGCAACAAGGCUUGGUGAUUGCCUUCGCAUCAAGGCAAUUAAAGCUAUAUGAGUAGAAUUACCAUACUCACAACUUAGAGCUUGGUGCAGUCAUUCAAGCUCAAAAAAUUUGGAGACACUACCUAUAUGGGGGCAAGUGUGACAUUUAUGCAAACCAUAAAAAUCUUAAGUACAUUUUCACUUAGAUAGAAUUGAACAUGAGACAGAGGAGAUGACUUGAGUUAGUGAAGGACUAUGACUACGUAAUCUAUUAUCAUCCAGUCAAGGCAAAUGUGGUAGCAGAGGCCUUAAGUAGGAAGAAGAUGGGUCUAGUGUUGAUAUUGACUUCACAAAAGCCUUCAUGGAAGGAAUUCGAGAGAUUAAGUCUCGAGAUUAUCAUGGUUCCACUUAAUGCUGUGGCUCGAAUGACAACAUUAUCGAUCUGACCAACACUUCGUGAAAGAAUUAAAAGUCAUCAAAAGGGCGACCAGUCCUUUGAGUUUAUUAAGGUUGAGAUAGAGGCAUGAAAAUGGAAGGACUUUACCAUAGUCGAUGAGAAGGUAUUGUACCAUCAGGGAGGGCUAUGCGCACCAAACUUUGAGGUAUUGAAAAAGGAAAUAUUACAGGAGGCUCACUUUGCUCCAUAUUCAGUGCAUCCAAGAAGUACUAAAAUGUUCCGAGAUCUAAAGGUGGUGUUUUGGUCGAGAGGAAUUAAUAACAUAGCCAAGUAUGUUGAAAGGUGUUUGAUAUGCCAACAAGUGAAGACUGAACAUGAACGACCAUCAGCAUGACCUUUUCUAUGGACCAGUAUGCAUGAUUGUAUGUUAAAAAAGUGGUGAAGUUGCACGGUGUACCAGUUUUAAUCGUAUCGAACAGAGACCCAAGGUUCACAUCGAACUUUUGAAAAAUUUUACACCAGGCUAUGGGAACUAAGUUGAACUUUAGUACAACUUUCCACCCUAAAACAGAUGGUCAAUUUGAGCGGACGAUUUAAACGUUAGAGGAUAAGUUUAGAUUGUGUGUAUUAGAGUUUGGUGGACAUUGGGAGAAGCAUCUACCUCUAAUAAAGUUUGCUUAUAAUACCAGUUAUCACACCUCUGUUACUUUAUAAAGCAUUGUAUGGGAGAAAAUGCAGAUCACCAGUUUAUUGUGAGAGGUUGGUGAAUAUAAGAUUUUGGGUCUAGAGAUUAUUGAACAGACUGUACAUGCUAUCGAGAACAUUCAUAACAGUAUUAAAACGGCUCAAGAUAGAAAGGAAAGCUAUGUAGAUAAUAGAAGAAAGGGCUUGGAAUUUCUUGAAGGUAACAGUAUUAUUUAAAGUGGUGCCUAUGAAGGGAGUAUUACGUUUCGCUAAAGUGGUGCCCAUGAAAGGAGUAUUCCUUAUAUCAGUUGACCAUAUCUCCUAAACUCUCAGCAGUACAUGAUGUAUUUCACGUGUCCGUGCUCAGAAAGUAUGUCCCUAAUUUGAACCAUAUAGUGAAUCAUCAAUCAAUUGAGUUACAACGUGGUUUGAGUUAUGAAGAAGUACUAAUUGAAAUUAUUAAUCAGGAAUUUCAAGCAUUUAGAAACAACGUGAUUCGAUUAGUAAAAGUACGAUGGCGUAAUCACUCAGUUGAAGAAGAUACUUGGGAGCAAUAAGUAGAAAUGCGAGACAAGUACUCCUAACUCUUCGAGGAAUCCCAAGAUAAAUUUCGAGGAUGAAAUUUAUUUUAAGGGGAGUAGAUUGUAGCGUCCCAAAUUUUUACUACUAAUUAAAUUUAGGACUAAAGUAUGCUAUUAUUAAAGUUUAAUGACUUUGUUGAUUAUUGAUCUAGUCUAAUGACCUUGUUAGUUAUUGACCAAUAGUUUGAGGACCUAGGUAGAAAGUUAUUUCGAAAAUUAGAUGAAAUCAUGCAUAAAACAUAUGUAAAUAUGAUAAUUGGUCUUGAUUAAUGAUGAUUUAUUGACAACAUGCAUUAUUCACAUCAUAUUUCAAGCCAAUAUAAUUGAUUUGACCAUGUACAUAAAGAAAAUUGAUUUGAUCACAUGCAUUAUUUACAUCAAGUUUCAAGCUAAAUGAAUUGAUUUGAUCGCAUGAUAAAAGCUAUUGAUUUUACCAUUUUCGUGACAAUAUCCAUUUAAGCAUUGACCAUGCCUAACGCCUAACCAUUUCCUUUCAUUUUUCUACACAUGAUCAAGAAUUUUCACUAUAAAUAGGAGACAAACUCAACACUAAACUACCCUUCAGUAACUAUUUACACACUCUCCUUCUCUCCAUCUAUAACUUUGUCUCUCCGCUUCCUCUCUUUCUCUUGUAAUUUUGAUAUUAAAUAUAGCUGUAUACUUAUACAAUCACAGGGAAAUAAUCAAACCCACACGCAGCUGAAAGAUCUCUUUUCAAUAGUAACUCAUUUUAUCAUUUUGAAUUGUCCAAUAAAAAGGUAUGUUGUGCUUUAUUUUUAUGGUGGCUAAUGUUUUGUAUGAAAUAUUUCUAUGACUAAGUUAUGUUUGGUCCAUGUUACGUGUGUUUUAUUGAAAAUGGACUGGAGUUUAGUAUCGUUACGAACGAGAAUUUAGCAUUAUAUAAGUUUUGUCCAAUUUUCAUGUCUCCCUAUGCAAAUUAUGAAAUUUUUCGUAAAAAUACAUAUAUGAAUUCAUUAUUCACGCACUCUUAUUGAGAAUUAUUCUCACCCAUUUUGUCUCUACUUUCAGAUAAUUGACGAUUCGAGGCAGUCGUCAAGAAGAUGGCUUAUGGUGGUAAAAGUUUCAAUAAUAAAAUUAUUAUGUUGUCAAACUAUUUUAAAUAUUUGAAGAUAUUUCUCGUUUCAAGUUAAUUUAUUAAAUUCAUUACAUUAUUUGAAUUUUGGUAAGUGCUAAAAUAAUAAAUAUGAUUAUGUUGAAUAUUCUUUAAAUUAGUUUUAGUUUAGCAAUACUCGAAUCGUUAAUUCAGGUUGUCACAUUUACUCUAUGGAAGUUUAGUUCCUAAAACUUCGAAUAGUUUUCUCAACUCAAAAUUUCAGACUAUAUGCACAAAUAUCCAAAACUAUAAUAAAUAUCAUUACUGUGAGUACGAACAGAACUAUCACGUA